AGAUCCAUCUUACUCUUUUG
rnacentral:snRNA from 1 species